CUAUCCACUGGUCCUAAUAGGAAUGAGAAGAUUGAAAUUCUCACUUUUGCGUCUAUGCAUUUAUUUCACUCUAUACGCUUCACAUUGCACAAUUCCCGUUGCUCCAUAUCUAUUUUAACCUUUGUCCAAUGUUAUAAAGAAUAGCCUCCUCCGAGAGAAUGGCGUAACAAAUGACGUAAACCAAAGACAUUCUCUCUCUCAUCAUUGA